rnacentral:rRNA from 1 species
UGGGGAAUUUUGGACAAUGGGGGCAACCCUGAUCCAGCAAUGCCGCGUGUGUGAAGAAGGCCUUCGGGUUGUAAAGCACUUUUGUCCGGGAAGAAAUCGCACCUGAUAAUACCGGGUGUGGAUGACGGUACCGGAAGAAUAAGGACCGGCUAACUACGUGCCAGCAGCCGCGGUAAUACGUAGGGUCCAAGCGUUAAUCGGAAUUACUGGGCGUAAAGCGUGCGCAGGCGGUUGUGCAAGACCGAUGUGAAAUCCCCGGGCUUAACCUGGGAAUUGCAUUGGUAACUGCACGGCUAGAGUGUGUCAGAGGGGGGUAGAAUUCCACGUGUAGCAGUGAAAUGCGUAGAGAUGUGGAGGAAUACCGAUGGCGAAGGCAGCCCCCUGGGAUAACACUGACGCUCAUGCACGAAAGCGUGGGGAGCAAACAGG